rnacentral:rRNA from 1 species
UACGUAGGGGGCGAGCGUUGUCCGGAUUUAUUGGGCGUAAAGAGCGUGUAGGCGGUUCGGUAAGUCUGUCGUGAAAUCCUGAGGCUCAACCUCGGGCGUGCGAUGGAUACUGCCGGGCUAGAGGAUGGUAGAGGCGAGUGGAAUUCCCGGUGUAGCGGUGAAAUGCGCAGAUAUCAGGAAGAACACCUAUGGCGAAGGCAGCACUCUGGGACGGUACUGACGCUGAGACGCGAAAGCGUGGGGAGCGAACAGG